GUCUCUCCAAACACGACUCGUGGUUCCGCCAUUUGGGGCGUGGUCCGGCAGCUGCCAUCUUGAGUGUGGCUGAAGAAGCUUGCUCGCCAACUACUGCUGCGGGACACCUUCCUUACUAAGUAAUGGAAGCCCUCGACGCUAGAGCGAGCGAGAGAGAAACAGCAUGAGAGGGGAGAGGGUCAGAGGGAGAAGCAGGCUCCCCGCUGAGCCGGGAGCCCGACGUGGGACUCGAUCCCAGGACCCUGGGACCAUGACCCAAGCCGAAGGCAGACGCUUAACCAUCUGAGCCACCCAGAGAGAGACAGCGAGAGCGGGAACACAGCAGGGAGCCGGAUGCAGGGCUCGAUCCCAGGACCCUGGGAUCAUGACCUGAGCCGAAGGCAGACACUUAACGACUGAGCCACCCAGGCGCCCCACCUCUCUGCUUUCUGUCUCUAUUAAUACGACUAUCCGGGUGCCUCACAGAGGUGGAAUGGUUGAGCAGCUGUCCUUUUAUAAUGUCCUCAUGGUUAGUCCAUCUUGUCACGCACGUCCUAAUUUUCUCCCUUUUUGUUUUAUUUAUUUUAUCAUUUUUUUAAAGUAGGCUCCACACCCAACGUGGGGCUUGAACUCACAACCCUGAGAUCAAGAGUCGCACGCUUUACUGACUGAGCCAGCCAGGCGCCCUGGAAUUUUCUUCCUCUUUUUUAAGGCUGGAUAAUAGGUACCCCAUUUUCUUCAUCCAGUCAUCUGUUGAUGGACCCUGGGGUUGCUUCCAUCUCGUGGCUCUAGUGAAUAACACUGCUCUGAACAUGGCUGUACAGAUGUCUCUUCAAGACCCUGCUUUCAGCUCUUCGGGGUACCUACCCAGAAGUAGAACUGCUGGGUUAUAUGGUAAUUCUAUUUUUAAUUUUUGGAGGAACUGCCAUACUGUUUUCCAUAGCGACGGUAUGUAGUGUUUUUUAUCUUGCUUUUUCCCCUCAGUGAUACAUCUUAAGAAGUGACCCAGGUCAGUCUGCAGAGAUCCAACUCACUUUAAAAAAAACUGUUUUGAAGUAUAAUCUAUGUCCAGAAAAGUGCAUAAAUCAUAAGUGAACAACAGCUGGAUUAAAUUCCAGAAACUAACCACACCUGAUAAUCAGAGGUCAGCUCAAGAGAAGAACAUGACCUUUCCUCAGAGUGCCCCCGAGGGUAACGACUAACUGGACUUCUACCAACAUGGAUUACUUUUGCCUGGUUUUGAAUUUUAUAUAAAUGAAAUCACACCGUA